UGCUGAUUAAGUCAACUCAGAUAUUUUCAGUUAAUGUGACUUUGUUUUCACAAUUUCUCCUUUAAUUAUUUUAUUUGCGUAAAAGCACUGUAGCUCCAUUACUUUAGGCAGCUAUGAGUAAUGUAUACCUUCUUAAAUUAAAUGUGGCAAUUACUUAUAUCUAAAUGCAAUCAUAAAUCAUUAGUGCUGCCUUACAUAAAACUUCUGACUGAUUACCCGCUUCUGAUCAGCAUCAGUAAGACUUCUUGAAGUUAAAUUCUAAAAUCUUCCCUUUUUUUUAUUUGUUACAAAAGUAUCACUCUGCACACUGUGUGCUACUAGAUCUACAGUCAAUAUCCCAGUUAUGUACCUCACUCUGUUACAGCUUUGAUAUUCUAACACGAAGGCAAAUAAAGCAGAACCUCAGCUACUGAACCGUGAUCAUAAUGGAACAACUCAGUAUGACCGAGCAGGCAGAAUAUUUAAUGUCCAUAACUUGCAAACUACAAACUUCCACUCUGGACACUGCAGUAUUAAUGGAUUAGUGCAAGUUAUAAUACGAAGACAAUAUAGAAAAGAAUAAGAACUGAAACUGCCCUACAAACGAAGAAUCUGUUUCAUCAACUCAAAAAAGGGAGAAAAUGUCACAGAAACUCAGCAGAUUAAAGCAGAAUCAUUGAAAAAAAACAUUUACAGUGCACGCAACAAUUACUUCGAGCACAUGUGUUUUCUGUCGAUUUCUCUGUACAUGAAAAAGACAUUACUGGCUUAUUGGUGUUGGAGAGCACUGUCUAACUGUCGGUCCAAAAUCUCCCAUAUUUGUCCAGUUUGGUUGAGGUGAGACAGCUGCAAAGGCCACAGCUUAUGAAGUACUUCUUGGUCAUACUCAUCAACCCAUCCUGUGCCCCCCCGUCCCUCUUCAUUCAGUUCUCCAGAAGAAAAUACCCACAACACAAGAAAAUCGCCCUGAGAACUCAGCCUCGACACUUCAUCUAUGCAGGAUACACAAGCAGUGUCGCGAGUGCCUUUUUUGAAGCCACGGGAUUAACUCAUUCAUGUGCACAAUUCAUAUCGUGAACUGAUGACAACGCCAAUAAAACCAUAUGAAUUAAGUUUCUGUGCAGAUUUCCACUGUUAAUGCUUCAAGUCUGAAACCCAUUUGCUGUAGCAGGAGAUGGAGGAGAUACAGAAAUGCUUCAGAUGUUUUACAGCCAGUUUUACCAGCAGUAAAAUUGCCUCACUUCAUAUACAGUAGUACUGAUCAGUGUCUGCUGGGUAACAUGUGGGCAUCUUGAUACAGUAUGGAAAACAUAUAAAGCGCAGCCAUGAACUCUGUGUGGGGUGUGACCCAUUACAUGAAAUAACAUUUGGAUAACAUGUGAAUUUACCUCUACAUGAGUGAGUCAUGCUGGACGUGGAUUUACUGCGAAGCCUCCAGAACAAGUA
rnacentral:lncRNA from 1 species